rnacentral:pre_miRNA from 1 species
CAACUACUCCCUCCGUCCCAAAUUUCUUGUCUUAGAUUUGUCUAGAUACGAAUGUAUCUAAUACUAAAAUGUGACUUGAUACAUCCGUAUCUAGACAAAUCUAAGACAAGAAUUUUGGGACGGAGGGAGUACUUU